rnacentral:rRNA from 1 species
UACGUAGGGUGCAAGCGUUAAUCGGAAUUACUGGGCGUAAAGCGUGCGCAGGCGGGUGUGCAAGACAGAUGUGAAAUCCCCGGGCUUAACCUGGGAACUGCAUUUGUGACUGCACGGCUAGAGUGUGUCAGAGGGGGGUAGAAUUCCACGUGUAGCAGUGAAAUGCGUAGAUAUGUGGAGGAAUACCGAUGGCGAAGGCAGCCCCCUGGGAUAACACUGACGCUCAUGCACGAAAGCGUGGGGAGCAAACAGG